rnacentral:rRNA from 1 species
UUGUCUGAAGAAAUGCCAUGCCAGGGAACUCCUUGGAGCUGGCUUUGGUGUGCUCGGUCCCUGGGUGCGGUGGGCAGUAGCAGGCAUACUGUCUAGGGGUCAGCUGCUCCGCUUUUGCACCCUGCUCUAGGAGGAGGAGGUGGAUGUGGAGUAGGAGGUUGAGGAGGCGGUGACCAUGGUGGCGAUGACGCAUUCGGAUGUCUGCCCUAUCAACUUUCGAUGUUACUUUCUGCACCUACCAUGGUGACCACGGGUAACGGGGAAUCAGGGUUCGAUUCCGGAGAGGGAGCCUGAGAAAUGGCUACCACAUCCAAGGAAGGCAGCAGGCACACAAAUUACCCACUCCCGAUGCGGGGAGGUAGUGAUGAUAAAUAACAAUACUGCCCUGUAAUUGGAAUGAGUCCACUUUAAAUCAUUUAACGAGGAUCUAUUGGAGGACAAGUCUGGUGCAGAGCGACUGACCCAUGCGUGCUGCAGCUGAAACUCUGCUAUCGCCUGCUACUG